rnacentral:RNase_P_RNA from 17 species
GGAGUCAGCCAGACAGUCGCUGCCUGCAUUGCAGGGGGAGGAAAGUCCGGGCUCCAUAGGGUAAGGUGCCAGAUAACGUCUGGGCGGCGCGAGCCGACGGCCAGUGCAGCAGAGAGUAGACCGCCAGGCUUCUGGCCUGGUAAGGGUGAAAGGGUGCGGUAAGAGCGCACCGCGACACUGGUAACAGUGUUGGCAUGGUAAACCCCACCUGGAGCAAGACCAAAUAGGGUUCCUUAAGGCGUGACCCGCGCCGGAACCGGGUAGGUUGCUUGACCUCAGGAGCAAUCCUGCGGCUAGAUGAAUGACUGUCCAUGACAGAACCCGGCUUAUCGGCUGGCUCCCAUU